rfam:Picea glauca, whole genome shotgun sequence.
GUAAUGGUGUCUUUAGACACCACCUUUAUCUUCAAUUUUUUUAUUU